UACAGAGGGGGCAAGCGUUAUUCGGAAUUAUUGGGCGUAAAGGGCGCGUAGGCGGCUUGGCAAGUGGAUGGUGAAAUCCCUCGGCUUAACCGAGGAACUGCCGUCCAAACUGCUUCGCUUGAGACCGGGAGAGGUGAGUGGAAUUCCCAGAUGUAGCGGUGGAAAAUGCGUAGAUAUUGGGAGGAACACCAGUGGCGAAGGCGGCUCACUGGACCGGUACUGACGCUGAUGCGCGAAAGCGUGGGGAGCAAACGGGG
rnacentral:rRNA from 1 species